UACGGGGGGGGCAAGCGUUGUUCGGAAUUACUGGGCGUAAAGGGCUCGUAGGUGGCCAACUAAGUCAGACGUGAAAUCCCUCGGCUUAACCGGGGAACUGCGUCUGAUACUGGAUGGCUUGAGUUCGGGAGAGGGAUGCGGAAUUCCAGGUGUAGCGGUGAAAUGCGUAGAUAUCUGGAGGAACACCGGUGGCGAAGGCGGCUCUCUGGAACGCAACUGACGCUGAGACGCGAAAGCGUGGGGAGCAAACAGG
rnacentral:rRNA from 1 species